rnacentral:rRNA from 1 species
AUUGAACGCUGGCGGCAUGCCUUACACAUGCAAGUCGAACGGCAGCAUGGAAGAGCUUGCUCUUCUGAUGGCGAGUGGCGAACGGGUGAGUAAAGCAUCGGAACGUACCGUGUAGUGGGGGAUAACGUAGCGAAAGUUACGCUAACACCGCAUACGCACUGAGGUGGAAAGCAGGGGAUCGCAAGACCUUGCGCUAUACGAGCGGCCGAUGUCAGAUUAGCUAGUUGGUAGGUAAAGGCCUACCAAGGCGACGAUCUGUAGCGGGUCUGAGAGGACGAUCAGCCACACUGGGACUGAGACACGGCCCAGACUCCUACGGGAGGCAGCAGUGGGGAAUUUUGGACAAAUGGGGGGGAAAACCCCUGGAUCCAGCAAUGCCGCGUGAGUGAAGAAGGCCUUC